GUGUGUAUCGAUUGGGGAGGCCCCGUGUUGAGGAUUCCCCAUCUCCGCAGAGUUUCUCUCCUCCUUCUCCCAACCUGUGUCGGGUCCUUCUUCCUGGAUUCUCACCGGGCGACUCCAGUUCUCACUCCCAUUAGGUGACAGGAUUUUAGAGAAGCCAGAGUCGCCGCGGUCCCGGUUCUAAAGUCCUCGCUCACCCACUCGGACUCAGAUUCUCCCCCAGACGCCAAGAAUGGUGGUCAUGGCGCCCCGGACCCUCCUCCUGCUGCUCUCGGGGGCUCUGGCCCUGACAGACACCUGGGCGGGCUCCCACUCCAUGAGGUACUUCAGCUCUGCCGUGUCCCGGCCCGGCCUCGGGGAGCCCCGCUUCAUCUCCGUGGGCUACGUGGACGACACGCAGUUCGUGCGGUUCGACAGCGACGCCGCGAGUCUGAGGAUGGAACCCCGGGCGCCGUGGGUGGAGCAGGAGGGGCCGGAGUAUUGGGAAGAGCAGACACGGAACACCAAGGCCCACCCACAGACUGACAGAGUGAACUUGUGGACCCUGAGCAGCUACCACAACCAGAGCGAGGCCGGGUCUCACACCCUCCAGUGGAUGAUUGGUUGCGACCUGGGGCCCGACGGGCGCCUCCUCUGCAGGUAUGAACAGUUCGCCUACGAUGGCAAGGAUUACCUCGCCCUGAACUAGGACCUGUGCUCCUGAACCGCAGCGGACACUGGCUCAGAUCUCCAAGCGCAAGUGUGAGGCGGCCAAAGUGACUGAACGAAGGAGAGCCUACCUGGAGGGCACGUGCGUGGAGUGGUUCCACAGAUACCUGGAGAAUGGGAAGGAGAUGCUGCAGCUUGCGGAGCCGUCUUCCCAGCCCACCAUCCCCAUCGUGGGCAUCAUUGCUGGCCUGGUUGUCCUUGCAGCUGUCCUCACUGAAGCUGUGGUCACUUCUGUGCUAUGGAGGAAGAAGAGCUCAGAUAGAAAAGGAGGGAGCUACUCUCAGGCCGCAAGUAAGAAUGAAGGCGGCUGAUCCCUGAGAUCCUUGGGAUCUUGUGGUUGGGAGCCCGUGGGGGAGCUCACUCAGGCAAUAUUUCCUCCUCUGGCCAUAUCUCCUGUGGGCUCUGACCAGGUCCUGUUUUUAUUGUACUCCAGGCAGUGACAGUGUCCAGGGCUCUGAUGUCUCUCACGGCUUGUAAAUGUGAGACCCUGGGGGCCUGAUGUGUGUGGGUUGUUGGGGGGAACAGUGGACAUAGCUGUGCCAUGAGGUUUCUUUGACUUGGAUGUAUUGAGCAUGUGAUGGGCUGUUUGAAGUGUCACCCCUCACUGUGACAGAUAUGAAUUUGUUCAUGAAUGUUUUUCUGCAGUCUGAGACAGCUGCCCUGUGUGGGACUGAGUGGCAAGAUUUGUUCACGCUUUCCCUUUGUGACUUCAAGAACCCUGACUUCUUUUUCUGCAAAGGCAUCUGAAUGUGUCUGUGUUCCUGUAGGCAUAAUGUGAGGAGGUGGGGAGACCAGCCCAACCCCAUGUCCACCAUGACCCUCUUCCCCACGCUGACCUGCAUUCUUUCCCCAAUCACCUUCCCUGUUCCAGAAUUGGGGCUGGGCUGUCUCCAUUUCUGUCUCAACUUUAUGGUGUACUGAGCUAUAACUUCUUACUUCCCUAUUAAAAUUAGAAUCUGAGUAUAAAUUUACUUUUUCAAAUUAUUUCCAAGAGAGGUUGAUGGGUUAAUUAAAGGAGAAGAUUCCUGAAAUUUGAGAGACAAAAUAAAUGGAAGACAUGAGAACC